UUUGAUUUCGAGAAUAGACGGCUCAUAUUCAUUGCAGGGUACAGUAAAAGAGCUCUAAAAAAUGGUUCACCACGCCUAUUUACCAUAUAAGUCUUAUUUAUAACAACCACUUAACCUUUUGGUGCUUCACACAGGACUAGUCACCCAAACAACACGGUUCGCUGUCAGGGACUGGGUAAAACGAAGAUGAAACACACCACCUAUUUACACACCAUCACUUAUUCAUCGCUGACAGUCAUAUGUCUCACUAUUCAUCACUCAACCAGAACAGGCACCAACUUAUUCAUCGCUGACAGUCACAUGUCUCACUAUUCAUCACUCAACCAGAAGAGGCAGCAUACUAUAGAACCCUAAGGUUGGUAAGGAAGGCCGCGCAAAAAUCCAGAAAGAGG
rnacentral:lncRNA from 1 species